rnacentral:rRNA from 1 species
UACGAAGGGGGCUAGCGUUGCUCGGAUUGACUGGGCGUAAAGGGCGCGUAGGCGGCCUGUCGCGUCUGCUGUGAAAUCCCGGGGCUUAACCCCGGGCGUGCAGUGGAUACGGGCUGGCUGGAGGCAGGCAGGGGAGAAUGGAAUUCCCAGUGUAGAGGUGAAAUUCGUAGAUAUUGGGAAGAACACCGGUGGCGAAGGCGGCUCUCUGGACCGAGACUGACGCUGAGGCGCGAAAGCGUGGGGAGCAAACAGG